rnacentral:rRNA from 1 species
UUGCUGCUUUGCUGACGAGUGGCGGACGGGUGAGUAAUGUCUGGGAAACUGCCUGAUGGAGGGGGAUAACUACUGGAAACGGUAGCUAAUACCGCAUAACGUCGCAAGACCAAAGAGGGGGACCUUAGGGCCUCUUGCCAUCGGAUGUGCCCAGAUGGGAUUAGCUAGUAGGUGGGGUAACGGCUCACCUAGGCGACGAUCCCUAGCUGGUCUGAGAGGAUGACCAGCCACACUGGAACUGAGACACGGUCCAGACUCCUACGGGAGGCAGCAGUGGGGAAUAUUGCACAAUGGGCGCAAGCCUGAUGCAGCCAUGCCGCGUGUAUGAAGAAGGCCUUCGGGUUGUAAAGUACUUUCAGC